CAAAGCCCUCCUCUUGUUCCUUCUCUCUGUUUCACGUGAACUCAAACCUCAUCCCCCACACUGCCGUUUUCUGUCCUCCCUUCACGACCGUCGCUAGCCAGCCGCCGGACCUACAUCAACCGUCGUCGCCGAAUCCUCCGCGAACUUGCUGCCGCCGAGCAUCCUGCCGCCGUCAGCGCAACCCUGACUGCCGGCCACCGCACGCCACCACCAACGUGUGCCGCCGCCCUUACUUGCAGCCACCUUUGCGACCACCUGCUGCCGCGACUCAACCGCCGGCCGCCCAAACUCUCCCUCUUUUCUUGGUUAUUUCUUAAACCCUAA